AUGUGACGAGAUGGGAGAGCUUCUGAUGUCUCUCCUUAGGUGUCUCAGUUUAAGGAGUGGACUUUCCUUCUCUGAGCAGGGAAUGCCUGAGACAUAAAUGUCUAAUUACUCAACAUUCGGAAGCCUGUGUCAACAACUGAUCACCAAGGAUACCACACAGAAAGCCAUGAAAACACACCUCAAAGACUCCUGGAACUCGGCCUGACCCCGGCCAUGGAUCUCUGCAUCUUCUUCCAUCAGUCACCGGAUGAGGGUUCUAUGAUGACAGUUAAGUUAUUCAGCCAUCUGAUCUCCAGAGUAGGCCAGUUCAGGCAACCUCUCGAAUACUGCCAGUAGUCUAAGGCUUUUAGCAGCAGUUCAGCUGAGAUCCAUUCUGGAUGAGGACACAGAGGCUUCCAGUUUGAAGAAAGAGGAUCUGCUGAGAAGCUGACAAGGGCUGGCAGCUGACACGAAACUACUACUACAAUCUACAAGCCAAGAAGAGCAUUCUCAGAAGAAAUCAACCUUGCUUGAACUUGGACUCCAUUCUUAAGAUCUAUGUGAAAAUACAGUUCUGCUGUGUAAACCACCUGGUCUGUAGCAUACUGUUAAGGAGCUGGAGUAAGCCAACCCAAUGGGCUCUUUUAUGGCAGUCACAUAACCAAAGAAUUCCAAUGCAUAUAAAUCUAAACACUAGGUGUAAAAAGACAGUAGCAAUCUAAUAAAAUAUGAAUCUCACACUG